UUAAGCAUAUUAAUUAGGGGAGGAAAAGAAACUAACAAGGAUUUUCUUAGUAGCGGCGAGCGAAAAGAAAUCAGUUCAGCACUAAGUCACUUUGUCUAUAUGGCAAAUGUGAGAUGCAGUGUAUGGAGCGUCAAUAUUCUAGUAUGAGAAAUUAACGAUUUAAGUCCUUCUUAAAUGAGGCCAUUUACCCAUAGAGGGUGCCAGGCCCGUAUAACGUUAAUGAUUACUAGAUGAUGUUUCCAAAGAGUCGUGUUGCUUGAUAGUGCAGCACUAAGUGGGUGGUAAACUCCAUCUAAAACUAAAUAUAACCAUGAGACCGAUAGUAAACAAGUACCGUGAGGGAAAGUUGAAAAGAACUCUGAAUAGAGAGUUAAAUAGUACGUGAAACUGCUUAGAGGUUAAGCCCGAUGAACCUGAAUAUCCGUUAUGGAAAAUUCAUCAUUAAAGUUAUAAUAUUUAAACAAUAUUAUACAAAUAAUGUGCAUUUUUUCCAUAUAAGGACAUUGUAAUCUAUUAACAUAUUAAAUUUAUCAUAAAAUAUGGCUUAUAGUUUAUUCAAAUUAUUAUGCUUGCAUUUUAACAUAGAAUAAAUGUCAUUAAUUUGAUAAAGUGUUGAUAGACUAAUAAGAAUACAGUGCGUUAAUUUUUCGGAAUUAUAUAAUGGCAUAAUUAUCAUUGAUUUUUGUGUUUAUUAUAAGCACUUGUAUGAUUAACAAUGCGAAAGAUUCAGGAUACCUUCGGGACCCGUCUUGAAACACGGACCAAGGAGUCUAACAUAUGUGCAAGUUAUUGGGAUAUAAACCUAAUAGCGUAAUUAACUUGACUAAUAAUGGGAUUAGUUUUUUAACUAUUUUAUAGCUAAUUAACACAAUCCCGGGGCGUUCUAUAUAGUUAUGUAUAAUAAUAUUUAUAUUAUUUAUGCCUCUAACUGGAACGUACCUUGAGCAGAUAUGCUGUGACCCGAAAGAUGGUGAACUAUACUUGAUCAGGUUGAAGUCAGGGGAAACCCUGAUGGAAGACCGAAACAGUUCUGACGUGCAAAUCGAUUGUCAGAAUUGAGUAUAGGGGCGAAAGACCAAUCGAACCAUCUAGUAGCUGGUUCCUUCCGAAGUUUCCCUCAGGAUAGCUGGUGCAUUUUAAUGUUAUAUAAAAUAAUCUUAUCUGGUAAAGCGAAUGAUUAGAGGCCUUAGGGUCGAAACGAUCUUAACCUAUUCUCAAACUUUAAAUGGGUAAGAACCUUAACUUUCUUGAUAUGAAGUUUAAGGUUAUGAUAUAUUGUGCCCAGUGGGCCACUUUUGGUAAGCAGAACUGGCGCUGUGGGAUGAACCAAACGUAAUGUUACGGUGCCCAAAUUAACAACUCAUGCAGAAACCAUGAAAGGCGUUGGUUGCUUAAAACAGCAGGACGGUGAUCAUGGAAGUCGAAAUCCGCUAAGGAGUGUGUAACAACUCACCUGCCGAAGCAACUAGCCCUUAAAAUGGAUGGCGCUUAAGUUGUAUACCUAUACAUUACCGCUAAAGUAGAUGAUUUAUAUUACUUGUAAUAUAAAUUUUGAAACUUUAGUGAGUAGGAAGGUACAAUGGUAUGCGUAGAAGUGUUUGGCGUAAGCCUGCAUGGAGCUGCUAUUGGUACAGAUCUUGGUGGUAGUAGCAAAUAAUCGAAUGAGACCUUGGAGGACUGAAGUGGAGAAGGGUUUCGUGUGAACAGUGGUUGAUCACGAGUUAGUCGGUCCUAAGUUCAAGGCGAAAGCCGAAAAUUUUCAAGUAAAAAUAAAAUUUACUAUAUGUAAAAAUUAUAUACUUGAAUAAUUUUGAACGAAAGGGAAUACGGUUCCAAUUCCGUAACCUGUUGAGUAUCCGUUUGUUAUUAAAUAUGGGCCUCGUGCUCAUCCUGGCAACAGGAACGACCAUAAAGAAGCCGUCGAGAGAUAUCGGAAGAGUUUUCUUUUCUGUUUUAUAGUCGUACUACCAUGGAAGUCUUUCGCAGAGAGAUAUGGUAGAUGGGCUAGAAGAGCAUGACAUAUACUGUUGUGUCGAUAUUUUCUCCUCGGACCUUGAAAAUUUAUGGUGGGGAUACGCAAACUUCUCAACAGGCCGUACCAAUAUCCGCAGCUGGUCUCCAAGGUGAAGAGUCUCUAGUCGAUAGAAUAAUGUAGGUAAGGGAAGUCGGCAAAUUAGAUCCGUAACUUCGGGAUAAGGAUUGGCUCUGAAGAUUGAGAUAGUCGGGCUUGAUUGGGAAACAAUAAUAUGGUUUAUGUGCUCGUUCUGGGUAAAUAGAGUUUCGAUCAUUUAUGGUUGUAACUUGUUCCCCGGAUAGUUAGUUACGUAUCCAAUUGUGGAACUUUCUUGCUAAAAUUUUUAAGAAUACUAGUUGGGUCAAACCAAUUAGUUCUUAUUAAUUAUAACGAUUAUCAAUUAACAAUCAAUUCAGAACUGGCACGGACUUGGGGAAUCCGACUGUCUAAUUAAAACAAAGCAUUGU
rnacentral:rRNA from 1 species